AUGGUUAAGUUAGAAAGGGCGCACGGUGAAUGCCUUGGCACUAGGAGCCGAUGAAGGACGGGACUAACACCGAUAUGCUUCGGGGAGCUGUAAGUGAGCUUUGAUCCGGAGAUUUCCGAAUGGGGAAACCCACUGUUCGUAAUGGAACAGUAUCUUUAUCUGAAUACAUAGGAUAUUGAAGGCAGACCCGGGGAACUGAAACAUCUAAGUACCCGGAGGAAGAGAAAGCAAAUGCGAUUUCCUGAGUAGCGGCGAGCGAAACGGAAUUAGCCCAAACCAAGAGGCUUGCCUCUUGGGGUUGUAGGACACUCUAUACGGAGUUACAAAGGAACGAAGUAAAUGAAGCGACCUGGAAAGGUCCGUCGAAGAAGGUAACAACCCUGUAGUUGAAACUUCGUUCCCUCUUGAGUGGAUCCUGAGUACGGCGGAACACGUGAAAUUCCGUCGGAAGCUGGGAGGACCAUCUCCCAAGGCUAAAUACUACCUAGUGACCGAUAGUGAACCAGUACCGUGAGGGAAAGGUGAAAAGCACCCCGGAAGGGGAGUGAAAGAGAUCCUGAAACCGUGUGCCUACAAGUAGUCAGAGCCCGUUAACGGGUGAUGGCGUGCCUUUUGUAGAAUGAACCGGCGAGUUACGAUCCCAUGCAAGGUUAAGCUGAUAAGGCGGAGCCGUAGCGAAAGCGAGUCUGAAUAGGGCGUUUAGUAUGUGGUUGUAGACCCGAAACCAGGUGAUCUACCCAUGUCCAGGGUGAAGUUCAGGUAACACUGAAUGGAGGCCCGAACCCACGCACGUUGAAAAGUGCGGGGAUGAGGUGUGGGUAGCGGAGAAAUUCCAAUCGAACCUGGAGAUAGCUGGUUCUCUCCGAAAUAGCUUUAGGGCUAGCCUCAUGUUGUGAGAGUCUUGGAGGUAGAGCACUGAUUGGACUAGGGGCCCCCAACGGGUUACCGAAUUCAGUCAAACUCCGAAUGCCAAAGACUUAUCCAUGGGAGUCAGACUGCGAGUGAUAAGAUCCGUAGUCAAAAGGGAAACAGCCCAGACCACCAGCUAAGGUCCCCAAGUAUACGUUAAGUGGAAAAGGAUGUGGAGUUGCUUAGACAACCAGGAUGUUGGCUUAGAAGCAGCCACCAUUUAAAGAGUGCGUAAUAGCUCACUGGUCGAGUGACUCUGCGCCGAAAAUGUACCGGGGCUAAACGUAUCACCGAAGCUGUGGAUUGACAUCUUUGAUGUCAGUGGUAGGAGAGCGUUCUAAGUGCAGCGAAGUCAGACCGUAAGGACUGGUGGAGCGCUUAGAAGUGAGAAUGCCGGUAUGAGUAGCGAAAGACAAGUGAGAAUCUUGUCCACCGAAUGCCUAAGGUUUCCUGAGGAAGGCUCGUCCGCUCAGGGUUAGUCGGGACCUAAGCCGAGGCUGAAAAGCGUAGGCGAUGGCCAACAGGUUGAUAUUCCUGUACCACCUCCCCGCCGUUUGAGUAAUGGGGGGACGCAGUAGGAUAGGGUAAGCGCGCUGCUGGAUAUGCGCGUUCAAGCAGUUAGGCUGAUGAGUAGGCAAAUCCGCUCAUCAUAAAGGCUGAGCUGUGAUGACGAGGGAAUUAUAGUACCGAAGUUCCUGAUUCCACACUGCCAAGAAAAGCCUCUAGCGAGGCGGGAGGUGCCCGUACCGCAAACCGACACAGGUAGGCGAGGAGAGAAUCCUAAGGUGAUCGAGAGAACUCUCGUUAAGGAACUCGGCAAAAUGACCCCGUAACUUCGGGAGAAGGGGUGCUCUGGUAGGGUGUAUAGCCCGAGAGAGCCGCAGUGAAUAGGCCCAGGCGACUGUUUAGCAAAAACACAGGUCUCUGCGAAGCCGCAAGGCGAAGUAUAGGGGCUGACGCCUGCCCGGUGCUGGAAGGUUAAGAGGAGGGGUUAUCCUUUGGGAGAAGCUCUGAAUCGAAGCCCCAGUAAACGGCGGCCGUAACUAUAACGGUCCUAAGGUAGCGAAAUUCCUUGUCGGGUAAGUUCCGACCCGCACGAAAGGCGUAACGAUCUGGGCACUGUCUCAACGAGAGACUCGGUGAAAUUAUAGUACCUGUGAAGAUGCAGGUUACCCGCGACAGGACGGAAAGACCCCGUGGAGCUUUACUGUAGCCUGAUAUUGAAUUUUGGUACAGCUUGUACAGGAUAGGUAGGAGCCUGAGAAGCCGGAGCGCUAGCUUCGGUGGAGGCGUCGGUGGGAUACUACCCUGGCUGUAUUGAAAUUCUAACCCGCGGCCCUGAUCGGGCCGGGAGACAGUGUCAGGUGGGCAGUUUGACUGGGGCGGUCGCCUCCUAAAAUGUAACGGAGGCGCCCAAAGGUUCCCUCAGAAUGGUUGGAAAUCAUUCGUAGAGUGUAAAGGCACAAGGGAGCUUGACUGCGAGACCUACAAGUCGAGCAGGGACGAAAGUCGGGCUUAGUGAUCCGGUGGUUCCGCAUGGAAGGGCCAUCGCUCAACGGAUAAAAGCUACCCCGGGGAUAACAGGCUUAUCUCCCCCAAGAGUCCACAUCGACGGGGAGGUUUGGCACCUCGAUGUCGGCUCAUCGCAUCCUGGGGCUGUAGUCGGUCCCAAGGGUUGGGCUGUUCGCCCAUUAAAGCGGUACGCGAGCUGGGUUCAGAACGUCGUGAGACAGUUCGGUCCCUAUCCGUCGUGGGCGUAGGAAAUUUGAGAGGAGCUGUCCUUAGUACGAGAGGACCGGGAUGGACACACCGCUGGUGUACCAGUUGUCUUGCCAAAGGCAUCGCUGGGUAGCUAUGUGUGGACGGGAUAAGUGCUGAAAGCAUCUAAGCAUGAAGCCCCCCUCAAGAUGAGAUUUCCCAUAGCGCAAGCUAGUAAGAUCCCUGAAAGAUGAUCAGGUUGAUAGGUCAGAGGUGGAAGCGUGGCGACAUGUGUAGCUGACUGAUACUAAUCGAUCGAGGACUUAACCAAAC
rnacentral:rRNA from 7 species